GCUGCUUUGAUUGAACUAUUUAAUGUUAGCCAUGAUAUUAGAGAUGUUAUCUCAUACAACAAAAGUUGUAAUUUUCGACUUACAUUGCUUAUGUAGAGGAAUUUGUGUAAAUGUUUUUAAAGGCGAUUACCAAUGUACUUCUUCUGUUGAUUAGUGCAAUUCUUAUAUCUCCAAUAAUCAAAGCAGUCGCACCGAAGACAGUCUCACGUCUAUCAACCAUUCGCUUUGUUUGCCUGUUAAUUAGCACCGUUUACGUUUACGAGAAGCCAGUAUGAGAGAAUCCUGCUAGUGGUGAAUCAUAGAAAACGUAGAGGUAGUCUGCAUAUUCUGCCACCAGACUACGCCACUGGAUGUCGCCUGUCCUCUCGUAUCAUUUUUGGCUCUGCUCCGUCACGCGUGAAAGCGAGAGUUACAUAUUGUGCUGAUUGUGUGGUUAUCAGUUCAACGCGAGUGGUCAUCCGUAAAGGAACAACAUGGAGGUAUUAUUACUUCCAAACAAGACUGAGGCAAGAUUCGGUAUCUAUUCACAAUACAGAGUUGGAAAAGGCUGUCUGCCAGACACCGAGAGGCCCUCAAGAAACUGAGGAAGAGUAUGCUGCGUUAUCCGUGCCUACGCCACCUUCUCCCCCUUCACACACCUCGCCCAGUCUGUGCCACAUGACACCACAACGUAGUCAUACCCUUGAGAACUCCACGCACGGACCGAUACCACCACAGUGCGAUACCCACCAUGGUGCGAGACAUAAACCUUUAGGCUAGUGUUCUACUCUCAAGCAUU
rnacentral:lncRNA from 1 species